GAGGGUAUAGCUCAAGUGGAAGAGCACAUGCUUAGCAUGUGUGAAGUUCUGGGUUCAAUACCCAGUACCUUCU
rnacentral:tRNA from 1 species